UNCUGGUGUCAUAAGGUGACUAAGCCCUC
rnacentral:piRNA from 1 species